AACGUAGGACACAAGCGUUAUCCGGAGUUACUGGGCGUAAAGGGCGUGUAGGCGGAUCGGUAAGUCUACUCUGAAAGCUCCUGGCUAAACUGGGAGAGGCGAGUGGAGACUGUCGGUCUAGAGUGAGGAAGAGGAAAGUGGAAUUCCGCGUGUAGUGGUGAAAUGCGUAGAUAUCUGGAGGAACACCGGUGGCGAAGGCGGCAUCCUGGACCGGCAUUGACGCUGAGGCGCGAAAGCCAGGGGAGCAAACGGG
rnacentral:rRNA from 1 species